UUUUAAAAAAAUAUUCAAUAAAAAAUAAUCCAAAUAGAAGAAAACAAGAAUUAAAAAUUAAAGUCAAAUUUUAAAAAAAAUAUAAUUUUGUAAUGGUGAGAAAUAUUUUCACCAGUGCAGUGAAGGCUUAGAAGGACAAGAUAUUAAAAUGUUUGUAAAAGAAAGAGAUUAAAAUUUUAAUUAAUGGACACAAGAUUUCGGAAAAUAGAUUUAAAAGGAAACAGAAAGAAAAUAAAAGGUGAUAAAGGCUAAUCAAAUGUAUGAAUCUCUGCAAUAAAAAGUAUGAAACAAGAAUUCUUUACAAUAAUUUCAAAUAAGGAAACAG